rnacentral:rRNA from 1 species
GCCGCCCGCUGGCGGCGUGCUUAACACAUGCAAGUCGUACGGAAAGGCCCUUCUGGUGUGGGAUGCUCGAGUAGCGAACGGGUGAGUAACAAGUGAGUAACCUGCCCUUGACUGUUAAAUAACGUCAGGAAACUGUGGCAAAGACCGUAUGGUAGCGCCGGCUGCAUGGUGGGGGUUGGAAAGUUUCGGCGGUGGGGGAUGGACUCGCGGCUUAUCAGCUUGUGGGUGGGGUAGUGGCUUACAAAGGCUUUGACGGGUAGCCGGCCUGAGGGGGUGACCGGCCACAUUGGGACUGAGAUAGGGCCAAGCCUCCUACGGGAGGAAGCAGUGGGAAAUAUUGACAAAUGGGCGGAAGCCGGAUGAAGCAACGCCGCGUGCGGGAUGACGGCCUUCGGGUUGUAACCCGUUUUCGCAUGUGACGAAGCGUGAGUGACGGUAAUGGGUAAAGAAGCACCGGCUAACUACGUG